AGGACUGACCUGACAGUGAUUCAUCGCAGUGAGCGCACACCUCGGAUGCACACCUCGCUCUAGUGACCCAAGUCAGGGACCACAGUGUCGUCUGAAUCAAAGAAUAUGCUAGUCCUCGCGUCCCCUUGCUCGACAGUGUGGCUCUCACUCCAUCAAGGGAGCCACUGGUUGCCUGUGGCUAUUGGGACUUGAAAUGAGGCACUGUGCUGAACAUCUACAUGCAUGAAGAAGAAACCAUCAUCUGUAUUCUAGAGAAGAAAACUAAGGCAUUGAGAACACAAAUCAUUUGGUUCGAGGCACAUCUCUAGGAAGAGCGGGAGUCUGGAGCUGCUUCGGAGUCUGUGUUUCCCUUUCUCUCUGCCCCUCUCCCGUCCAUGC